rnacentral:rRNA from 1 species
UACCCGCAGCACAAGUGGUGGUCAUUAUUAUUGGGCCUAAAGCGUCCGUAGCUGGCUUGUUAGAUGCCUGGGUAAAUCGAUGCGCUCAACGUAUCGAACUCCGGGUAGACCGGCAAGCUUGGGACCGGGAGAGGCGUGAGCUACUCGAGGGGUAGGGGUAAAAUCCUGCAAUCCUUCGGGGAGGACCAGUGGCGAAGGCGUCACGCUAGAACGGCUCCGACAGUGAGGGACGAAGCCCUGGGGCGCAAACCGG